UGAGUGUUCCUUUUUAUGAAAUUGUUGAUGAAAAAAGCCGAACAAGUGUAAAAUAUUUUAAGAGAUUUAUUCUGAGCCAAAUAUGAGUGACCACAGCCCAUGACACAGCCCUCAGGAGGUCCUCAGAACAUGUGCCCAAGGUGGCUAAGGUACAGCUUAGUUUUAUAUAUUUUAGGGAGGCAUAAGACAUCAAAUACAUUUAAGAAACACAUUGGUCUGGUUUAGAAAGGUGGGACAACUCAAAGAAGGGGCUUCCAGACUAUAGGUAAAUUUAAACAUUUUCUGGUUGACAAUAGGAUGAGUUUAUCUGAAGACCUGGGAUCAACAGAAAAGAAAUGUUCAGGUUAAGAUAAAGGAUUGUGGAGACCAAGUUUCACUGUGCAGAGGAAGCUCUCAGAGAGCAGACUUCAGAGAGCAGGUGGUAAAAUAUUUCUUAUCAGACUUAAAAGGGUACCUGACUGUUAGUUGAUUAUCUCUUGGAUCUGGAAAGGAAGGAAGGAAAACAAAGGGGAAAGGGGACUCAUUAUAGAAUGUGGAUUUUUCCCACAAGAGACUUUGCAGGGCAAUUUCAAGGUAUGGCAAGGAAAUAUAUUUUUGGGUAAAACAUUUUUAUUUUCUUCCUUGUUAUGCCAGAGUCAGAUUGGAAAGUCAAGAUAUACAGGGUUAAAUAAAACCCACCUGAUGAGAAUUUAUGAUUUGUAGGGCAUGACUCUCUAGGCCCCUUAGACAGGAAUUUGGGCAAGAUUUAACAAAUCAGAGCUGAGUCCUCAAAAUCCUAUUAUUGUUUCAUGAAUAUGGUUUAAGAAUAUUAAUUACGGAGGGCACGGUGGCUCCUGACCAUUACCUUUUUCUUAAAGCACUGUUAGAAGAUGCUAGAAAAGAUUAAAUAUUUAAAUUUUGAUAGUUGUUAAAUAUAGGCCAAAUGUGUUACUCUUCCUUCUAUGAAGAAACAGCUAAAAGAUAAAUUAUUACUUCCCACAAUUUCAACUUUUAGUUACAAACUUUUGGGUACCUACAAUGUGCUCAGUGAUAAUACUGCUCUCUCUAACCCAAAGGUUACAAUCCAGUAAAUCUCAUUUUCCCUUCAAAUAACUGUUUUUGGUAGAAGCAAUUCUGGAAUUCUUUCAAUUUUCAUUAUUAAGCAAGAAAGAUAAAGUUAAUUUAUAAAUAACCUAAACAAAAUUAAACUUAUCAAGAAAAACUAAUUUCUGCUUGUUUAAAAAUGAUUAGACAAACUUUCAGUAAUAAAUACAAUGUAUUCAUCCAUAUUCCUAAAAAGUAUUUUACAAAAUCUGCAAGGAAAUAUACCAAAGUUUUACAUUUCCAAGCAUUACCAAAUUUAGUAAUUUGGAAAACGGAAAAUUUUAUACCUGGAAAAGAAAACAAACUGGCCUACACCUAAGUACUCAAAAGCAUGAUAUGAAAGAACUUAAUUUUCAGUUGCUCUGGAUAAAAAUCACU
rnacentral:lncRNA from 1 species